rnacentral:rRNA from 1 species
CAGGAUGAACGCUAGCUACAGGCUUAACACAUGCAAGUCGAGGGGCAGCAUGGGUAGCAAUACUCAGAUGGCGACCGGCGCACGGGUGAGUAACACGUAUCCAACCUGCCGCUUACUCGGGGAUAGCCUUUCGAAAGAAAGAUUAAUACCCGAUGGUAUAAAGAGUUCGCAUGUUCUCUUUAUUAAAGAAUUUCGGUAAGCGAUGGGGAUGCGUUCCAUUAGAUAGUUGGCGGGGUAACGGCCCACCAAGUCUACGAUGGAUAGGGGUUCUGAGAGGAAGGUCCCCCACAUUGGAACUGAGACACGGUCCAAACUCCUACGGGAGGCAGCAGUGAGGAAUAUUGGUCAAUGGACGAGAGUCUGAACCAGCCAAGUAGCGUGAAGGAUGACUGCCCUAUGGGUUGUAAACUUCUUUUAUAAGGGAAUAAAGUGAGGGACGUGUCCCUUUUUGUAUGUACCUUAUGAAUAAGGAUCGGCUAACUCCGUGCCAGCAGCAGC